ACUAGAGGGAUUUUGCUUUUAGCAAAGAGUAGGAAGAGUCACACUGAUUUAACCUUGUGAGGAUCAAGAAUCGUAGUGAAACUGGGAUAUAGAGUUCCUAUCUAAACACUGACCUUUGCCUAACCAAAGCCAUGAAGACCUGUUACCAUUUCCUUCUGGCCAUUGCCUUAAUCCUUUCAGCUGAUCCAGUCUUUGCUCAGGUAAUAAGCGAGGAUGAAUGCAAUUUCAUCGGUGGCGUCUGCGAAGACAGCUGUGAGUUUGGUUAUCGUGACUUUGGAGAAUGCAGUACGACACGUUGCUGCGUAAGAUUAUACUCUGGAUGAUGGGAUCCAUCUCUGCUGCCACUUGGCUUGAAGAUUCAUCAGCUCCUACCUGAACACCAGCGUUAUCCAGGAAUCGUGGUUUUUUUCCCCACCACCAGCUGAAGGACCAUAAAAGCAUGUUUGGUGUAAAAUCUUCAAACACCAUGUGUUAAUAAAAAAUAAAAGCUAUAGUGCAGAUGGUCCAAAA